UCUGCGAUUUCCGAAUGGGGAAACCCAACUGCAUAAGCAGUUACUGUUAACUGAAUACAUAGGUUAACAGAGCAAACCGGGGGAACUGAAACAUCUAAGUACCCCGAGGAGAAGAAAUCAACCGAGAUUCCGGUAGUAGCGGCGAGCGAACCUGGAUUAGCCCUUAAGCACUCGGUGAAGUAGGUGAACAAGCUGGAAAGCUUGGCGAUACAGGGUGAUAGCCCCGUAACCGACGCUUCAUCGAGCGUGAAAUCGAGUAGGGCGGGACACGUGAUAUCCUGUCUGAAUAUGGGGGGACCAUCCUCCAAGGCUAAAUACUCCUGACUGACCGAUAGUGAACCAGUACCGUGAGGGAAAGGCGAAAAGAACCCCUGUGAGGGGAGUGAAAUAGAACCUGAAACCGUGUACGUACAAGCAGUAGGAGCACCUUCGUGGUGUGACUGCGUACCUUUUGUAUAAUGGGUCAGCGACUUAUAUUCAGUGGCAAGGUUAACCGUAUAGGGGAGCCGUAGCGAAAGCGAGUCUUAACUGGGCGCUCAGUCUCUGGAUAUAGACCCGAAACCGGGUGAUCUAGCCAUGGGCAGGUUGAAGGUUGAGUAACAUCAACUGGAGGACCGAACCGACUAAUGUUGAAAAAUUAGCGGAUGACUUGUGGCUAGGGGUGAAAGGCCAAUCAAACUCGGAGAUAGCUGGUUCUCCCCGAAAGCUAUUUAGGUAGCGCCUCGGACGAAUACUACUGGGGGUAGAGCACUGUUAAGGCUAGGGGGUCAUCCCGACUUACCAACCCUUUGCAAACUCCGAAUACCAGUAAGUACUAUCCGGGAGACACACGGCGGGUGCUAACGUCCGUCGUGGAGAGGGAAACAACCCAGACCGCCAGCUAAGGUCCCAAAGUAUUGCUAAGUGGGAAACGAUGUGGGAAGGCUCAGACAGCUAGGAUGUUGGCUUAGAAGCAGCCAUCAUUUAAAGAAAGCGUAAUAGCUCACUAGUCGAGUCGGCCUGCGCGGAAGAUGUAACGGGGCUAAGCAAUACACCGAAGCUGCGGCAAUAUCUUUUAGAUAUUGGGUAGGGGAGCGUUCUGUAAGCCGUUGAAGGUGAAUCGUAAGGUUUGCUGGAGGUAUCAGAAGUGCGAAUGCUGACAUGAGUAACGACAAAGGGGGUGAAAAACCUCCUCGCCGGAAGACCAAGGGUUCCUGUCCAACGUUAAUCGGGGCAGGGUGAGUCGACCCCUAAGGUGAGGCCGAAAGGCGUAAUCGAUGGGAAACGGGUUAAUAUUCCCGUACUUCUGACUAUUGCGAUGGGGGGACGGAGAAGGCUAGGUGGGCCAGGCGACGGUUGUCCUGGUUCAAGUGCGUAGGCUUGAGAGUUAGGUAAAUCCGGCUCUCUCUAAGGCUGAGACACGACGUCGAGCUGCUACGGCAGUGAAGUCAUUGAUGCCAUGCUUCCAGGAAAAGCCUCUAAGCUUCAGAUAGUCAGGAAUCGUACCCCAAACCGACACAGGUGGUCGGGUAGAGAAUACCAAGGCGCUUGAGAGAACUCGGGUGAAGGAACUAGGCAAAAUGGUACCGUAACUUCGGGAGAAGGUACGCUCUUGAUGGUGAAGUCCCUCGCGGAUGGAGCUGACGAGAGUCGCAGAUACCAGGUGGCUGCAACUGUUUAUUAAAAACACAGCACUGUGCAAAAUCGCAAGAUGACGUAUACGGUGUGACGCCUGCCCGGUGCCGGAAGGUUAAUUGAUGGGGUUAGCGCAAGCGAAGCUCUUGAUCGAAGCCCCGGUAAACGGCGGCCGUAACUAUAACGGUCCUAAGGUAGCGAAAUUCCUUGUCGGGUAAGUUCCGACCUGCACGAAUGGCGUAAUGAUGGCCACGCUGUCUCCACCCGAGACUCAGUGAAAUUGAAAUCGCUGUGAAGAUGCAGUGUACCCGCGGCUAGACGGAAAGACCCCGUGAACCUUUACUACAGCUUGGCACUGAACAUUGAACCUACAUGUGUAGGAUAGGUGGGAGGCUAUGAAGACGUGACGCCAGUUGCGUUGGAGCCGUCCUUGAAAUACCACCCUUGUAUGUUUGAUGUUCUAACUUAGACCCAUUAUCUGGGUUGAGGACAGUGCCUGGUGGGUAGUUUGACUGGGGCGGUCUCCUCCCAAAGAGUAACGGAGGAGCACGAAGGUGGGCUAAUCACGGUUGGACAUCGUGAGGUUAGUGCAAUGGCAUAAGCCCGCUUAACUGCGAGAAUGACGGUUCGAGCAGGUGCGAAAGCAGGUCAUAGUGAUCCGGUGGUUCUGUAUGGAAGGGCCAUCGCUCAACGGAUAAAAGGUACUCCGGGGAUAACAGGCUGAUACCGCCCAAGAGUUCAUAUCGACGGCGGUGUUUGGCACCUCGAUGUCGGCUCAUCACAUCCUGGGGCUGAAGUCGGUCCCAAGGGUAUGGCUGUUCGCCAUUUAAAGUGGUACGCGAGCUGGGUUUAGAACGUCGUGAGACAGUUCGGUCCCUAUCUGCCGUGGGCGUUGGAAGAUUGAAGGGGGCUGCUCCUAGUACGAGAGGACCGGAGUGGACGAACCUCUGGUGUUCGGGUUGUGUCGCCAGACGCAUUGCCCGGUAGCUAAGUUCGGAAUUGAUAAGCGCUGAAAGCAUCUAAGCGCGAAGCGAGCCCUGAGAUGAGUCUUCCCUGACAGUUUAACUGUUCUAAAGGGUUGUUCGAGACUAGAACGUUGAUAGGCAGGGUGUGUAAGCGUUGUGAGGCGUUGAGCUAACCUGUACUAAUUGCCCGUGAGGCUUAACCAUACAACACCCA
rnacentral:rRNA from 1 species